rnacentral:rRNA from 1 species
UACGUAGGGUGCGAGCGUUAAUCGGAAUUACUGGGCGUAAAGCGUGCGCAGGCGGUUCGUUGUGUCGGUGGUGAAAUCCCCGGGCUUAACCUGGGAAUGGCCAUGGAAACUGGCGAACUGGAGUGCGGCAGAGGGGGGUGGAAUUCCGCGUGUAGCAGUGAAAUGCGUAGAGAUGCGGGAGGAACACCGAUGGCGAAGGCAGCCCCCCUGGGCUAGCACUGACGCCUCAGGCACGAAAGCGUGGGGAGCAAACAGGG